AGCAGAGUGGCGCAGUGGUAGCGAGCUGGGCCCAUAACCCAGAAGUCCGUUGAUCAAAACCACCCUCUGCUA